rnacentral:rRNA from 1 species
AUCGAUGAAGAACGCAGCUAGCUGCGUUAUUUACCACGAAUUGCAGACGCUUAGAGUGGUGAAAUUUGAACGCAUAGCGCCGUUGGGUUUCCCCUUCGGCACGU